CAGUCCAUGUUGGUGAAACAGCAACAUUAACAUGUGUUUUACCAAAUGAAGAGCUCGGCAGCAGAAAGGUUCAGUGGUACAAGCAGAGAGUCGGGGAUACUCUUAAAUUAUUAGUGUCACUUUCUGGAAAACCUUCUUCAGAGUUUUUUCAGUCAAGAUUUUCUGCACAUAACAGUAAAGAUUUUAGCAACCUGACCAUUUGGAAUGUAGCCCAAGAGGAUGAGGGAAUGUAUCACUGUGGAAUAGACACCUGGAUUAAACUUGAAUGGAGUGGGACAUAUUUGUUAGUAAAAGGAAACACUGAAAGGACAUCAAACUAUAUUGUUGUACAGCAGCCGACAGAAUCAAAUCCACUCCGUCCAGGAGACACAGCAACUCUUCAGUGUUCAGUUCUGACAAAUUCUGAGAAAAACACAUGUUCAGGAGUUAAUAAUGUUUUCUGGUUCAGAGAUGGAUCUAAUAAAUCUCUUCCAAACAUCAUCUACACUCAUGGAAACAGAACUGAUCAAUGUGAGAAAAGAUCUGACCCUCAGGAUGGAUGUGUUUAUCGCUUCUCUAAGAACGUCGGCUCCUCUGAUGCUGGGACUUACUACUGUGCUGUGGCCACAUGUGGGGAGAUAUUAUUUGGAAAUGGAACUACACUGGAUGUUCAAGGUAUCUGUGCCUGA